ensembl:lincRNA
UGAGCCUUUGAGUAAUAAAACAAUAAGGGUGGCAAUGUCCCCUGGCUCAUGAUCCCUGGACCCAAACACUGGAUUAGCUGUAGCUCCUGACGAUUUGGACCUGACCCCUGUGGCUGUGUGAACUGGGUGUUGCCUGUAUGGGUUGCCGCUCUCCUACCUACGUCCAGUAUGCAUUUUUCCUGGCCUGUAGUUGUCUCAGAGCAGCGGCCUGCUGUGCUCUCUGGGUGCUCCCAGGAGAGGAAAUUACUCUUGAGGCCAAAGAAGAGCUGAGUUUCUUGGUGGUUCACUAGAGGCCUUCUUUCCAGAAGCAAGCAGCCUGCCUCUGGAAAGCAAGUGACCCUCAGUCGCGGUGCUUUAAACUAGACGGUGACAUGACUAAUCCAAUGAAAGUUCCACAGAAGACCGAGUCCCACCAG